CCUACGGGUGGCAGCAGUGAGGAAUAUUGGUCAAUGGGCGUGAGCCUGAACCAGCCAAGUCGCGUGAGGGAAGACGGUCCUAUGGAUUGUAAACCUCUUUUGUCGGGGAGCAAAAGACGCCACGCGUGGCGUUCCGAGAGUACCCGAAGAAAAAGCAUCGGCUAACUCCGUGCCAGUAGCCGCGGUAAUACGGAGGAUGCGAGCGUUAUCCGGAUUUAUUGGGUUUAAAGGGUGCGCAGGCGGAAGAUCAAGUCAGCGGUAAAAUUGAGAGGCUCAACCUCUUCGAGCCGUUGAAACUGGUUGUCUUGAGUGAGUGAGAAGGAUGCGGAAUGCGUGGUGUAGCGGUGAAAUGCAUAGAUAUCACGCAGAACUCCGAUUGCGAAGGCAGCAUACCGGCGCCCUACUGACGCUGAGGCACGAAAGCGUGGGUAUCGAACAGGAUUAGAUACCCUAGUAGUC
rnacentral:rRNA from 1 species